AACGAACGCUGGCGGCAUGCCUAACACAUGCAAGUCGAACGAGACCUUCGGGUCUAGUGGCGCACGGGUGCGUAACGCGUGGGAACCUGCCCUUAGGUUCGGAAUAACUCCCCGAAAGGGGUGCUAAUACCGGAUAAUGUCUUCGGACCAAAGAUUUAUCGCCUUUUGAUGGGCCCGCGUUGGAUUAGCUAGUUGGUAGGGUAAAAGCCUACCAAGGCGACGAUCCAUAGCUGGUCUGAGAGGAUGAUCAGCCACACUGGGACUGAGACACGGCCCAGACUCCUACGGGAAGAAGCAGUGGGGAAUAUUGGACAAUGGGCGAAAGCCUGAUCCAGCAAUGCCGCGUGAGUGAUGAAGGCCUUAGGGUUGUAAAGCUCUUUUACCCGGGAUGAUAAUGACAGUACCGGGAGAAUAAGCUCCGGCUAACUCAGUG
rnacentral:rRNA from 1 species